rnacentral:rRNA from 1 species
UACGGAGGAUCCAAGCGUUAUCCGGAUUUAUUGGGUUUAAAGGGUGCGUAGGCGGCUUUUUAAGUCAGGGGUGAAAGACGGUAGCUCAACUAUCGCAGUGCCCUUGAUACUGAAGAGCUUGAAUACACUAGAGGUAGGCGGAAUGUGACAAGUAGCGGUGAAAUGCAUAGAUAUGUCACAGAACACCAAUUGCGAAGGCAGCUUACUAUGGUGUCAUUGACGCUGAGGCACGAAAGCGUGGGGGAUCAAAACAGG